rnacentral:rRNA from 1 species
AUUGAACGCUGGCGGCAGGCCUAACACAUGCAAGUCGAACGGUAACAGGAAGCAGCUUGCUGCUUUGCUGACGAGUGGCGGACGGGUGAGUAAUGUCUGGGAAACUGCCUGAUGGAGGGGGAUAACUACUGGAAACGGUAGCUAAUACCGCAUAACGUCGCAAGACCAAAGAGGGGGACCUUCGGGCCUCUUGCCAUCGGAUGUGCCCAGAUGGGAUUAGCUAGUAGGUGGGGUAACGGCUCACCUAGGCGACGAUCCCUAGCUGGUCUGAGAGGAUGACCCGCCACACUGGAACUGAGACACGGUCCAGACUCCUACGGGAGGCAGCAGUGGGGAAUAUUGCACAAUGGGCGCAAGCCUGAUGCAGCCAUGCCGCGUGUAUGAAGAAGGCCUUCGGGUUGUAAAGUACUUUCAGCGGGGAGGAAGGGAGUAAAGUUAAUACCUUUGCUCAUUGACGUUACCCGCAGAAGAAGCACCGGCUAACUCCGUG